GCAUGGUGGGAUUAACCUACUAACCCAGGGCUCGGCCGGGACGCUGUGGCCUGUGGCGAGGUGCCUGGCCUUCUGCCAACCAACUAACCCACUAACCAGGCCCGAGCAUGCCCUACUAACCACCGCCCCCCCCGCCCCCCCGCCCCUCGCAGCCAGAUCCUACUAACC
ensembl:misc_RNA